rnacentral:rRNA from 1 species
UGGGGAAUAUUGCACAAUGGGCGCAAGCCUGAUGCAGCAACGCCGCGUGAACGAUGAAGGUCUUCGGAUCGUAAAGUUCUGUUGCAGGGGAAGAUAAUGACGGUACCCUGUGAGGAAGCCCCGGCUAACUACGUGCCAGCAGCCGCGGUAAUACGUAGGGGGCUAGCGUUAUCCGGAUUUACUGGGCGUAAAGGGUGCGUAGGUGGUCCUUCAAGUCGGUGGUUAAAGGCUACGGCUCAACCGUAGUAAGCCGCCGAAACUGGAGGACUUGAGUGCAGGAGAGGAAAGUGGAAUUCCCAGUGUAGCGGUGAAAUGCGUAGAUAUUGGGAGGAACACCAGUAGCGAAGGCGGCUUUCUGGACUGCAACUGACACUGAGGCGCGAAAGCGUGGGGAGCAAACAGG